AACGAACGCUGGCGGCGUGGAUAAGACAUGCAAGUCGAACGGGAAUUUUAGAUAGCUUGCUAACUGAAAUUCUAGUGGCGCACGGGUGAGUAACACGUGAGCAACCUGCCCUAAAGAGGGGGAUAGCCCACCGAAAGGUGGAUUAAUACCGCAUAUGACCUACGGGUUAAAGAUGGCUUCGGCUGUCGCUUUAGGAUGGGCUCGCGGCCUAUCAGCUUGUUGGUAAGGUAACGGCUUACCAAGGCGACGACGGGUACCUGGUCUGAGAGGACGAUCAGGCACACUGGAACUGAGACACGGUCCAGACACCUACGGGUGGCAGCAGUCGAGAAUCAUUCACAAUGGACGAAAGUCUGAUGGUGCAACGCCGCGUGGAGGAUGAAGGCCCUUGGGUCGUAAACUCCUGUCAUCAGAGAGUAAUCCUUAUGCGUUAAUAGCGUGUAAGGUUGAUAGUAUCUGAAGAGGAAGGGACGGCUAACUUCG
rnacentral:rRNA from 1 species